GAAGUAAGGACCCACCCAGAAUGUGGGCUAAGCCUCCCCUCUCAUGACCCUCAACUGAAAUCACAGCUUUUGCCAUGGAAUGCAGAGAUGAAUCCUGGGGCAGCAGCGAGUGUGAGAGGAGAAGGGAAGCAGAAUAAGACAAGGUGUUCUGCCAGAGGGAGCUUGAGUAUCCACGGAAAGACGGAAUGCCUGCACAAGUGGCUUCGCAGAACAGUAAUGUGCUACAGGAUGAAGCCAUGCCUCAAGAAGGUUCUUGGAUGCUGUAAGAAGGGACCGACGGGACUGGAGAGAUGGCCCAUGGUUAAGAACACUGGCUGUUGUUCCAGGGGAUCCAGGUUGAAUUCCCAGCACCUACAUGGCAGCUCACAACUGUCUGUCACUCCAAUUCCAGAGGAUACGGCCACCCUCACACAGACAUACAUUACGAUGGUCACGUGAGGAUCCAGACACACAAGGAGAACACCAUGUGAAGAUGGAUACUGAAUUGAAGUGCUGCCGUUGUGAGCCUUGGAAUGCCCCUGGCUGAAAAGGAAAUGUCUGAGCUACUGAAGGGAGAUAAAGUUGCAUGCUGGUUAAAUGGCUUCUAGCUGUGAGUGCAAACAUGGAAAUGUACUGAGCCAUUGCAAUGAGGAAGCUGCUUCUCGAACCUAAGAAGGCUGCAGCAGAGCUGCGGGCAAGUUCCUGAAGCAGCUGAGGUCAUUCACCCUUCUCGCUGGCUCAGGCCCGGCCUUCAGCAAGAUUAAGAUUUGGAUUUGGAAAACCUGAGUGACACAUCAAGACAAAAACAAUGUGAUAAGAAA
rnacentral:lncRNA from 1 species